rnacentral:tRNA from 2 species
AGAAAUGAAUAGAUUAAGUGAAAGCUGCUAACUUAUCACUAUAGCGGUUAAAAUCCGUUUACAUUUCUA